rnacentral:lncRNA from 1 species
GGAUUUGAGUUAUUUUCUGUUGUCUUUUCCUUGCUCCAAUAUAGCUCUACUCUCUAGCAUUUUUGUGCUAUUAUUAUCAUAUAUAUUACAUCUUCAUAUGUUAUAAACCCAACAAUAUACAAUUGACCCUUGAACAAUGCAGAGGCUGGGACACUGACCCCCUUCACAGUUGAAAAUCUACGUAUAACUUUUGACUCCCCCCACAUUUAACCACUACUAGCCUACUAUUGACCAGAAGCCUAAUAACAUAAACAGUAUGUUAGCACAUAUUUUUCUAUGUUAUAUGUAGUAUGUACUAUAUUCUUACAAUAAAGUAAGCUAGAGGAAAGAAAAUGUUAUUAUGAAAAUCACAAGGAAAAUAUAUUUACUAUUCAUUAUGGAGUAGGCGGAGGAGGAGGAGGAAGAUGAGGGCUUGGUCUUGCUGUCUCAGGAGUGGCAGAGAUGGAAGAGGUGGAGGAGGUGGAAGGGGAAGCAGGAAAGGCAGGCAUAGUUGGUGUAAUUUUAUGGAAAUACAUAAUAUUUUCUGCCUUUUUGCUUUUUCAUUUCUCUAAACAGGUUUCUAUAUGAUACUAAUCCUUCUUCCACUAUCUGCUUUAGUUUUGUGCUUAUAUCACAGAAGGGUCUACGUUGUGAAAGAAGUCAAAAGCAGUCUUGGAUAAUAGAACUCAUCUGCCAAAUUGUCUAAUGUCAAUUUGUUUUCUGGCACUGGGCAGAAGCAGCUUCUGUUAUCUUAAUAUUUUUCAAGCCAAACCUCUUUUUAAAAUUAUUAAACCAUCCUUUGCUGGCAUUAAAUUCUCCAGCUUUAGAGUCUUUACCUUCCUUUUGCUUUAACUUGUCAUAUAAUUACUUCACUUCUUGAAUAUUA